GCUCUCUGCCAGCUGAUUGGCCUCCUCCAACAUGCUCCGCCCCCUGCUCCUCCUGUCUGCUCUCAUUGGGCUGCUGCCUGGUGCUGAGCAGCAGUAUGUUGGUUCUGCAACAUUAAACAUCUCCUCUUGUCCCAUCUCAUAUUAUGGAGAGCAGUUCACAACGCUGUAUGUGACUGCCACGAAUGAAUCAUUCAAAGCCUGUUUCAACAUGAGUAUGGACUGUAUUGUUGGGCCUGCACUCGAUGAUAAUACAUUUUUCUACAAUGCAGUGGUUGACAAUGAAACACAUUACCAUCAGAAUUUGAA